CAGCAGCCGCGGGAAUACGUAGGGUGCAAGCGUUAAUCGGAAUUACUGGGCGUAAAGCGUGCGCAGGCGGUCCGCUAAGACAGAUGUGAGAUCCCCGGGCUUAACCUGGGAACUGCGCUUGUGACUGCACAGCUAGAGUAUGGCAGAGGGGGGUGGAAUUCCACGUGUAGCAGUGAAAUGCGUAGAGAUGUGGAGGAACACCGAUGGCGAAGGCAGCCCCCUGGGCCAAUACUGAUGCUCAUGCACGAAAGCGUGGGGAGUAAACAGGAUUAGAGACCCCUGUAGUCCCUGUCUCUUAUAC
rnacentral:rRNA from 1 species